rnacentral:rRNA from 1 species
AACCUGAAGCAGCAACGCCGCGUGCGGGAUGACGGCCUUCGGGUUGUAAACCGCUUUUCGGGGGGAAGAGGAAGGACGGUACCCCCGGAAGAAGUCUCGGCUAACUACGUGCCAGCAGCCGCGGUAAAACGUAGGAGGCGAGCGUUAUCCGGAUUUACUGGGUGUAAAGCGCGUGCAGGCGGUUCUGCAAGUGGGACGUGAAAGCGCCCGGCUCAACCGGGCGAGGACGUACCGAACUGCGGGACUAGAGGCAGGCAGAGGCGUGUGGAAUUCCGGGUGUAGUGGUGAAAUGCGUAGAGAUCCGGAGGAACACCAGUGGCGAAAGCGACACGCUGGGCCUGGCCUGACGCUCAGACGCGAAAGCAUGGGGAGCGAACGGGAUUAGAAACCCCGGUAGUCCAUGCCGUAAACGAUGCUGACUAGGUGUGGCGGGUAUGAACUCCUGCCGUGCCGGAGCCAACGUGGUAAGUCAGCCACCUGGA